GACGGAGGAUGCAAGCGUUAUCCGGAAUUAUUGGGCGUAAAGCGUCCGUAGGCGGUUUCAAAAGUCUGUUGUUAAAGCUCACAGCUCAACUGUGAAUCGGCAAUGGAAACUAUGAGACUAGAGAGUGGUAGGGGUAGAGGGAAUUCCUAGUGUAGCGGUGAAAUGCGUAGAUAUUAGGAAGAACACCAGUGGCGAAGGCGCUCUACUGGGCCAUUACUGACGCUGAUGGACGAAAGCUAGGGGAGCGAAAGGG
rnacentral:rRNA from 1 species